rnacentral:rRNA from 1 species
AUUGAACGCUGGCGGCAGGCCUAACACAUGCAAGUCGAACGAGUGGCGGACGGGUGAGUAAUGUCUGGGAAACUGCCUGAUGGAGGGGGAUAACUACUGGAAACGGUAGCUAAUACCGCAUACCAUCAGAUGUGCCCAGAUGGGAUUAGCUUGUUGGUGGGGUAACGGCUCACCAAGGCGACGAUCCCUAGCUGGUCUGAGAGGAUGACCAGCCACACGGGAAUGGAGAAACGGUCAAGACUCCUAGGGGGGGCAGCAGGGGGGAAUAUUGCAAAAUGGGCGAAAGCCUGAUGCAGCCAUGCCGGGUGUAUGAAGAAGGCCUUCGGGUUGAAAAGUACUUUCAGCGGGGAGGCGUUACCCGAAGAAGAAGCACCGGCUAACUCCGUGCCAGCAGCCGCGGAAUUC